rnacentral:rRNA from 1 species
AGAGUUUGAUCAUGGCUCAGAUUGAACGCUGGCGGUAUGCUUAACACAUGCAAGUCGAACGGUAACAGGAAAAGCUUGCUUUUCGCUGACGAGUGGCGGACGGGUGCGUAAUGCGUAGGAAUCUCCCUAGUAGUGGGGGACAACUCGGAGAAAUUCGAGCUAAUACCGCAUAAGCCCUACGGGGGAAAACGGGGGAUCUUCUGACCUCGUGCUAUUAGAUGAGCCUACGUUAGAUUAGCUUGUUGGUGAGGUAAAAGCUCACCAAGGCGACGAUCUAUAGCUGGUCUGAGAGGAUGAUCAGCCACACUGGGACUGAGACACGGCCCAGACUCCUACGGGAGGCAGCAGUGGGGAAUAUUGGACAAUGGGCGAAAGCCUGAUCCAGCAAUACCGCGUGUGUGAAGAAGGCCUGAGGGUUGUAAAGCACUUUCAAUUGGGAGGAAUACCUAAUGGUUAAUAGCCAUUAGAUUGACA